AUGAACGCUGGCGGCGUGCCUAAUACAUGCAAGUCGAGCGCACGGACGAGAAGCUUGCUUCUCUGAUGUUAGCGGCGGACGGGUGAGUAACACGUGGAUAACCUACCUAUAAGACUGGGAUAACUUCGGGAAACCGGAGCUAAUACCGGAUGAUAUUUUGAACCGCAUGGUUCAAAAGUGAAAAACGGUCUUGCUGUCACUUAUAGAUGGAUCCGCGCUGCAUUAGCUAGUUGGUAAGGUAACGGCUUACCAAGGCAACGAUGCAUAGCCGACCUGAGAGGGUGAUCGGCCACACUGGAACUGAGACACGGUCCAGACUCCUACGGGAGGCAGCAGUAGGGAAUCUUCCGCAAUGGGCGAAAGCCUGACGGAGCAACGCCGCGUGAGUGAUGAAGGUCUUCGGAUCGUAAAACUCUGUUAUUAGGGAAGAACAUAUGUGUAAGUAACUGUGCACAUCUUGACGGUACCUAAUCAGAAAGCCACGGCUAACUACGUG
rnacentral:rRNA from 1 species